GAUGAACGCUGGCGGCGUGCCUAAUACAUGCAAGUCGAGCGAACGGACGAGAAGCUUGCUUUUCUGAUGUUAGCGGCGGACGGGUGAGUAACACGUGGAUAACCUACCUAUAAGACUGGGAUAACUUCGGGAAACCGGAGCUAAUACCGGAUAAUAUUUUGAACCGCAUGGUUCAAAAGUGAAAGCCGGUCUUGCUGUCACUUAUAGAUGGAUCCGCGCUGCAUUAGCUAGUUGGUAAGGUAACGGCUUACCAAGGCAACGAUGCAUAGCCGACCUGAGAGGGUGAUCGGCCACACUGGAACUGAGACACGGUCCAGACUCCUACGGGAGGCAGCAGUAGGGAAUCUUCGGCAAUGGGCGAAAGCCUGACGGAGCAACGCCACGUGAGUGAUGAAGGUCUUCGGAUCGUAAAACUCUGUUAUUAGGGAAGAACAUAUGUGUAAGUAACUGUGCACAUCUUGACGGUACCUAAUCAGAAAGCCACGGCUAACUACGUG
rnacentral:rRNA from 1 species